CAAAAAGUACAGCUUUGUUUUCAGUCCUGUUACAGGGUAUCCAUGGAAACGAGGAUGACUUUCCAAUCCUUUUCUGGGGAAGGCACUGCAUUCACUGCAAUACAGUCUCUUCAACUAAAAUUUUGCAAAACAGCUCCCCAGGGUGACUGCUUUUUAUCCAAAAAGCCUGCAGUACAGCUGGCUGGAGGGAGCUAGCCCCUUUUAACCCUCCCACAAAACUGGCAUUUCUCAGCAGGUCUGGGGAUCCUGCUUUCCAGCUGGAUUUCAUGGGAGAGGAGAGCAGCCAGCAUCUCCUGCUGACACCAAACCCCUUCCCAAGAUUUAACCAAGAGGCCAGGAAAAUACAGGACCCAACAGACACUUCCAGAACACAGCCCUUGGUGCUUUCUAAACACCUAAGAUGCCCUGUGCAGUGACUGGGAGGAGGCAGCUGCUUCAGUCCUUCUCUCAGCAGCAAACACCAGGAGGUGUGGAAUGACAGCCACAGGAUCAGAGGUGCUCUGUCUCCCUCAAUAACCCAGCAGGGGGAUGGGACCCUACACUUUGCACUUGCUGCCAUUCCUGAAUCUGAAGAGAACUCAUGAAGAAGCAAGCACAAUAAUUGAUUGGUUCUAUUAAUAUGUCCAAAACUGAUUUCCUGCACUGACCAUAGCUUAAUGAAUAAUUUUCCCAGCAAAGUUUGCAGGUACAGAAUCAUACCCUUUUGCUGCUCAACACCAUUUUUAUUGGAAAGGAUUUACCCACUGUGCAAUAGUGAGACUGAAAUGGUGUGUGUGGUCCCCUCCCAGAGCUGCUUCCUGCCCCACAAAGGACAUGGACUUCACUGUGCCAGAGUGUCCUCCCUGACAGAUCCUUGUCCUGAAGAGUAACAAGAAAUAAAAUCUUUGAGAAUGAAGGUAAAUUGUAAAUA
rnacentral:lncRNA from 1 species